rnacentral:rRNA from 1 species
GAUUAACGCUGGCGGCGUGCAUAACACAUGCAAGUCGAACGAUGAAACUUAAAUGAUUUCUUCGGAAUGAACGUAAGUGGGUUAGUGGCGGACGGGUGAGUAACGCGUGAGUAACCUGCCUUACACAAGGGGAUAGCCGUUGGAAACGACGAAUAAUACCCUAUGAAACUAUCACUUCGCAUGAAGCGGUAGUCAAAGUGUUAGCGGUGUAAGAUGGACUUGCGUCUGAUUAGCUAGUUGGUGAGAAAAAAGCCCACCAAGGCAACGAUCAGUAGCCGGCUUGAGAGAGUGUACGGGCAAAUUGGGACUGAGACACGGCCCAGACUCCGACGGGAGGCAGCAGGGGGGAAUUUUGGACAAUGGGGGAAACCCUGAUGCAGCGACGCCGCGUGAUUGAGAAGGCCUUCGGGUUGUAAAAAUCUUUUGUAUAGGAAGAAAAUGACAGUACUAUACGAAUAAGGUCCGGCUAAUUACGUG